UAGUGGCCGAGGGGAAAUGGGAGAUAAAUCAUGACAUCCAGUGGGUGGAAAAGCAGAAAGUUUUAAGGAUGAAAAUUUCAGCCGAUGAAUCCUUGUGAUUGUGUCAAGUGAAUCAUUAAGAACACGGCAGAGCUAAAGCUUCUCAGGAAUUGCUGAACAGCUGGUCAUCCAGGACAGUGGCCCAUACAGCCAUGGCACCAUCCUUAUUUCACAGGUGGUGAGACUAACACACAGCCAAAGAGACAGGUCCUGCACUACUUAGACGACAGGAGAUCGAGCUGAGUUUGCGAUGCUCAUCUGCUUGAAAUUAUAGCCCAGGAAGUGGAUCUUAGCUUCUGCAGCCUUGAUAAGUGUUGUUCUCCCUACAACUCACAUAUCUUGGAGCCAGCAGGAGCAACGAUCUCUGUCUAGAGCCCUACAAAGUCCUUGGAUAGAAAGACCCUGUUUUCUGAAU